CGACACUAACAAUCCUUCGGGUGCGUUAAUGGGCGUCGAGCGGCGGACGGGUGAGUAAUGCCUAGGAAAUUGCCUUGAUGUGGGGGAUAACCAUUGGAAACGAUGGCUAAUACCGCAUAAUGCCUACGGGCCAAAGAGGGGGACCUUCGGGCCUCUCGCGUCAAGAUAUGCCUAGGUGGGAUUAGCUAGUUGGUGAGGUAAUGGCUCACCAAGGCGACGAUCCCUAGCUGGUCUGAGAGGAUGAUCAGCCACACUGGAACUGAGACACGGUCCAGACUCCUACGGGAGGCAGCAGUGGGGAAUAUUGCACAAUGGGCGAAAGCCUGAUGCAGCCAUGCCGCGUGUAUGAAGAAGGCCUUCGGGUUGUAAAGUACUUUCAGUUGUGAGGAAGGGGGUAGYGUUAAUAGCGCUAUCUCUUGACGUUAGCAACAGAAGAAGCACCGGCUAACUCCGUGCCAGCAGCCGCGGUAAUACGGAGGGUGCGAGCGUUAAUCGGAAUUACUGGGCGUAAAGCGCAUGCAGGUGGUUCAUUAAGUCAGAUGUGAAAGCCCGGGGCUCAACCUCGGAACUGCAUUUGAAACUGGUGAACUAGAGUACUGUAGAGGGGGGUAGAAUUUCAGGUGUAGCGGUGAAAUGCGUAGAGAUCUGAAGGAAUAC
rnacentral:rRNA from 1 species